GGGUCUUAAACACACUCAUAUGUGACGUGGAGCAUCUGUUUAUGUGCUUAAAGAUGGUGAUAUUGAUUGUGUUAAUUAUGGCUUGACUUUCACCUCCUCAGGACGGAUACGGCUGUGUUCAUGAGUGUGAAGAUCACACAUGUGUCAUUCCCGAGGAAGAAUGAUGCCUCGCCUUCGGCCACAAGAUCUUGCACCUGAAAGAUAUAAAACCGCACCCAGCGUCUCACACUCGUGACUCACCGUUUCCCGCCUCCCUCGACAAGACAGAAAUUACCCUCAAACUGAUUCUACGAUCAAUAACAACAUGCCCACCAAUCAAGAGCACCGACCCGGGGUUAAGAUCCAAUCAGCAGCUCACACUCCUCCUGCUUCAAGAGUCUGAGCAGACGCAAACAAACAAGACGUUUACAGGUCUGAGGAGAGACACACAAACCAGACGUUAUUCAUAGAAACACGAACAAAGAUUUGAAAUAAAUAUGAUUCUGAGAUGUAUUCUUUGUUAUGA
ensembl:lncRNA